AACGAACGCUGGCGGCGUGGAUAAGACAUGCAAGUCGAACGGGACAACAUCUGUAGCAAUACAGGUGUUGUUUAGUGGCGAACGGGUGCGUAACACGUGGGCAAUCUGCCGAGAAGUGGGGGAUAGCUCGCCGAAAGGCGAAUUAAUACCGCAUAUGAUCAGGGACGACAUCUUCCCAACAUCAAAGCCGGGGCAACCUGGCGCUUCUUGAUGAGCCCGCGGCCUANCAGCUAGUUGGUGAGGUAACGGCUCACCAAGGCUAUGACGGGUAGCUGGUCUGAGAGGACGACCAGUCACACUGGAACUGAGACACGGUCCAGACACCUACGGGUGGCAGCAGUCGAGAAUUUUUCNCAAUGGGGCAACCCUGAGGGAGCGACGCCGCGUGGAGGAUGAAGGCUUU
rnacentral:rRNA from 1 species